rnacentral:tRNA from 1 species
GGGAGUGUCGCAUAGUGGCUAUUGCAGCAGACUGUAAAUCUGUCGUCGGAAGACAUCGGUGGUUCGAGUCCAUCCACUCCCACAA